rnacentral:rRNA from 1 species
AACGAACGCUGGCGGCACGCCUAACACAUGCAAGUCGAACGAGAAGCUACCUUCGGGUGGUGGACAGUGGCGGACGGGUGAGUAACACGUGGGAACAUGCCUUUUGGUACGGAACAACCAUUGGAAACGAUGGCUAAUACCGUAUACGCCCUUUGGGGGAAAGAUUUAUCGCCGAAAGAUUGGCCCGCGCUAGAUUAGCUAGUUGGUAAGGUAAUGGCUUACCAAGGCGACGAUCUAUAGCUGGUUUGAGAGGAUGAUCAGCCACACUGGGACUGAGACACGGCCCAGACUCCUACGGGAGGCAGCAGUGGGGAAUAUUGGACAAUGGGGGCAACCCUGAUCCAGCGAUGCCGCGUGAGUGAUGAAGGCCUUAGGGUUGUAAAACUCUUUCAGGGGUGAAGAUAAUGACGGUAACCCCAGAAGAAGCUCCGGCUAACUCCG